rnacentral:rRNA from 1 species
AGCCUAUGUGGGAUUAGCUAGUUGGUGAGGUAACGGCUCACCAAGGCAUGGAUCUCUAGCUGGUUUGAGAGGAUGAUCAGCCACACUGGGACUGAGACACGGCCCAGACUCCUACGGGAGGCAGCAGUGGGGAAUAUUGGACAAUGGGCGAAAGCCUGAUCCAGCAAUACCGCGUGUGUGAAGAAGGCCCUAGGGUUGUA